UGGGCUUCGGGGUAGUGGCGCACGGGUGCGUACGCGUGGGAACCUGCCUUUAGGUUCGGAAUAACUCAGAGAAAUUUGAGCUAAUACCGGAUAAUGUCUUCGGACCAAAGAUUUAUCGCCUUUAGAUGGGCCCGCGUUAGAUUAGAUAGUUGGUGGGGUAACGGCCUACCAAGUCGACGAUCUAUAGCUGGUCUGAGAGGAUGAUCAGCCACACUGGGACUGAGACACGGCCCAGACUUCUACGGGAGGCAGCAGUGGGGAAUAUUGGACAAUGGGCGAAAGCCUGAUCCAGCAAUGCCGCGUGAGUGAUGAAGGCCUUAGGGUUGUAAAGCUCUUUUACUAGGGAUGAUAAUGACAGUACCUAGAGAAUAAGCUCCGGCUAACUCCGUGCCAGCAGCCGCGGUAAUACGGAGGGAGCUAGCGUUGUUCGGAAUUACUGGGCGUAAAGCGCGCGUAGGCGGCUUAUCAAGUCAGGGGUGAAAUCCCGGAGCUCAACUCCGGAACUGCCCUUGAAACUGGUUGGCUAGAAUAUUGGAGAGGUAAGUGGAAUUCCGAGUGUAGAGGUGAAAUUCGUAGAUAUUCGGAAGAACACCAGUGGCGAAGGCGACUUACUGGACAAUUAUUGACGCUGAGGUGCGAAAGCGUGGGG
rnacentral:rRNA from 1 species